GUCUUUGACAUUUGAACUUUUGCUUGUUGGGAAUUCUACUCUGGGCUGGCGUGGCCAAAAAGACACAACCCUCAACAGAGGACACAAUUCCCAAACAAGGAAUAUGGUAUCUCACCGUUGAAGGGGAGGAGGGCAGACCACCAGCUUUUCUCAUUCCCUCCAACUCCAAGUUGAAGAGGCUAAAUUCUUGAUGAGUGUACCCUUACAGGUCGGAGGCUCCCUGCCCCAACACUACUGAGAUAUAAUUGAUUUAUAAUACUAUGUAUAUAGCAUGUUGAUUUGAUGCAUUUAUGUAUUGCAAAAUGAUACCAUCAUAGCAUUAACUAACACCUCAUCACAUACUUAUUUCUUUUUUGUGGUGAGAACUUUUAAGAUCUCCUUUAUUAAUGUCAUUCAAAUAUUAUUAGCUAUAAUCCCCAUGCAGUACGUUGGAUCCCCAGAACUUAUUAAUCUUAUAACUGGAAGUUUGUACCUUUUGACCACUAUCUUCCUAAUUCUCCCAACCUCAGGUAACCAGCAUUCUAUUUCUCUGAGUUUGACUUUUUUUAGAUUCCACAUAGAAGUGAUAUUAUAUAGUAUUUUUCUCUUUCUGACUUCAUUUAAUUCACUUAUUGCACAUAAUGCCAGGGGCUCCUUUCUUCUGACUACCUUUGUACUACACUCAGUACAGAAGCUGUGCCCUAGGCCUGGCAAGCAAGAAUUCUGUGACCCUGCUGUCCUUGCCCCAACUCAGGUGUAGGACAGAGCUUCCGUGUAGGGAGAGGCAAGCCAAAAGGACUUAAAAGUCGGCUGACCCUGCUCAGAGUAGCGGCACCAAGAUUUUGCCAGGACGAGAGGUAAUGCAUAAGAGCAGAAGGUAGGGAAGUUCAGACCUAAGGGUGUUCUGGAAAACAAUGUUGAUUUUGGUGGUAAGCAAAUAAAAGGAGGAUGUUAGCUCUUAAGUGAGAACAAGAAGCUAAACCAUAGGGGCUCCUGGGUAGCUCAGUCUGUUAAGUGUCCGACUCAUUGAUUUUGUCUCAGGACUUGAUCUCAGGGUUCGUUUGUGCUUGGGGGGUGUCUCUCUCUCUCUCUCUGCCCCUCUCUCACUUGAGGGCGCACCCCCCCCCUCUUUCUCUCUCUUCAAAAAUAAACAUAAAAAAAAAAGUUAAACCAUAGGCUGGGUAGUUUACCAGUAAGAACCAGGAAAACAGCUAAGCAGAGCUCUUCUGAGGUCAAAACCAACCUCAGUCUCAGAAACUACGUUGGCCCAGUUUUAAUUGGAUUAGAUUUUGGAGCACUUUAUUACCCCCCAAGGCAUUGUCAAAAACAGUGGAGCAUUCAGCCAGCAAUUAGUGGAGUCUGACAGCUGGGUUUCAUACCAGAUGAGGCAGAAAUCGUCAUCCAGGGAGACUGUAAACACCCCCACAACUUCACUCCUCUGAAGCAAAACACCAAGGACCUCGCUAGUCUGUGGAGAAAUAGACUUUGCUGAAAUAGUCUAGGGAGGUCACUGAACAAAUGAACAAGAAAAUAACAAGCCCCAAAAGGGAAGAAGGGGAACCAGUAUCCACAGUUGCUGUAUUAUUUAUCUAAAAUGUCAGUUUAAGGAGCGCCUGGGUGGCUCAGUCGGUUAAGCGGCCGACUUCGGCUCAGGUCAUGAACUCACAGUCCGUGAGUUCGAGCCCCGCGUCGGGCUUUGUGCUGACAGCUCAGAGCCUGGAGCCUGCUUCAGAUUGUGUCUCCCUCUCUCUCUGACCCUCCCCCGUUCAUGCUCUGUCUCUCUCUGUCUCAAAAAUAAACAUUAAAAAAAAUUUUUUUAAUGUCAUUUAAUAAAAUGUAUGAGAUAUGCAGAGCAAGUAUGGCCCAUAUACAGGAGAGAGCAGGCAACAGAAAUUGCCUGUGAGAGAGCCCAGAUAUUGGAUUUAAUGGAGACUUGUCAUAAGGAGGUCAAAGAGCUAAAGGAUGCUGUGCCUAAAGAAGUAGAAGGAACUAAAGAA